CCUACGGGCGGCAGCAGUGAGGAAUAUUGGUCAAUGGACGCAAGUCUGAACCAGCCAUGCCGCGUGCAGGAAGACGGCUCUAUGAGUUGUAAACUGCUUUUGUACGAGGGUAAACGCAGAUACGUGUAUCUGUCUGAAAGUAUCGUACGAAUAAGGAUCGGCUAACUCCGCGCCAGCAGCCGCGGUAAUACGGAGGAUUUAAGCGUUAGCCGGAUUUAUUGGGUUUAAAGGGUGCGUAGUCGGUCGGAUAGGUUAGAGGUAAAAGCCCGAGGUUAAACUUAGGAAUUGCCUCUGAUACUGUUGGGCUAGGGAGUAGUUGCGGUAGGCGGAAUGUAUGGUGUAGCGGUGAAAUGCUUAGAGAUCAUACAGAGCACCGAUUGCGAAGGCAGCUUACCAAGCUACUUCUGACGUUGAGGCACGAAAGCGUGGGGAGCAAACAGGAUUAGAUACCCGGGUAGU
rnacentral:rRNA from 1 species